rnacentral:rRNA from 1 species
UACGAAGGGGGCUAGCGUUGCUCGGAAUUACUGGGCGUAAAGGGUGCGUAGGCGGGUCUUUAAGUCAGAGGUGAAAUCCUGGAGCUCAACUCCAGAACUGCCUUUGAUACUGAGGAUCUUGAGUUCGGGAGAGGUGAGUGGAACUGCGAGUGUAGAGGUGAAAUUCGUAGAUAUUCGCAAGAACACCAGUGGCGAAGGCGGAGCUC